rnacentral:misc_RNA from 1 species
GAAAUGCGAUAAGUAAUGUGAAUUGCAGAAUUCAGUGAAUCAUCGAAUCUUUGAACGCACAUUGCGCCCGCCAGUAUUCUGGCGGGCAUGCCUGUUCGAGCGUCAUUUCAACCAUCAAGCCCCGCGCUUGUGUUGGGGACCUGCGGCUGCCGCAGGCCCUGAAAGCCAGUGGCGGGCUCGCUGUCACACCGGGCGUAGUAGAUUUUAUCUCGCUCAGGGCGUGCUGCGGGUUCCGGCCGUUAAAAAGCCUUUUUUACCCAAGGUUGACCUCGGAUCAGGUAGGAAGACCCGCUGAACUUAAGC